CACACACACACACAAACAAUGCAACCCUUACACACAAUGCAUCCCUUACACACACAGAAACACACAAUGCAUUCCUUACACACACUCAAUGCACCCCUUACACACGCACACACUGCAUCCUGUACAUACACAGAAACACACCUUGCAGCCCUUACACAUACAAACACAGAUUCACACAAUGCAUUCCUUACACACAUAUCAGGACAUUCCCUACACACUCCACCCCCUGUGAACAAACUCAUUGGUGGAACAUGAAGGUGGACCCUGGGACCCAGACCUUGAGCUGUGUAAAGGGCCCCCAAAAAAUGGAGCUGCUUCCCGUUCUCCCAGAACAUUGAUUUUUGUGACCACAGUUACAA